GUCCCUGGAGUCUUCCCAAUGGGGGGCCGCUGGCAGUGUAAAAAGGGAAGUGGAAAAUGGGAAACUAGACGGCCCUCGAGAGCUUUUCGUCGCAUUCAUAAAUAAGAAACAACAACUUGGCGCCUCUCUCUCCUAAAGCAAACAAGAAAACAGCAGCAAGAAUCCAAACAGAUCGGCAAAUAAAUCAAACAAAAAAUGUUUAUGUUUUUUACAUCAAGGAAAUGAAUCAGUCGGAAUGAAAAUGUUUGGAAAAGUUUUAGCUUAAAUUGAAAGCAACUAUAAAUAAAAUUUAGUGUUUCUGUAAACUGCUGGGAAAAAAAGAAAUGGAAAUGAUUAUGUAAUUUGAAACACUUGACUAAGGAAAUGAUUGAGUCUCGGAUUCGAUUUUAAAUUUAUAAUAUUGUUGGUUCAUGCUUUGAAUAUAAUUCGAUAUCCUCGGCUCGUAAUCAAUAACGAUUGCGAUGAUAAAGUGUUAUCUGCAAUUCAAGCCAAGACGUCAACUGUCUUUAAGCCACAUGGCAGCAGUAAUAGCCAUGACAAUUGCUGGCGACAAAUUGGCAAUGACUCAAGCAAACGCCUUCCCCUCCCUUCAUUCAAAAGGCGCCACUUGACAUCAACAGCAAGAGCAACAGCAAAAGCAACAAUGACAACAGUCAACAACAACAGCAAUCCUCUGAGCAAUGCUCUGCACGUGACCAAUGACAAUUUGCGAUUCGAGUUGCUGCUGCCCAUUUAUGACCCGUCUCGUUCCUGUCUCCCCCCUUGUUGAGUGGAUUUUUUAUUUGAUUUUGCUGUCGUUUAUUUGACUUUGGGACAAACGUCUCUCCCACCCCCUUCCCCUGGAUAACUACCACACCUUGGACUUGGGCCGAGAACUUUACUCGUUGUCGUCGAUUUGAGCUUUAAUACUUCCUGCAGGCGCAUUUGUUGGGAUUUUGGGGUCUCUGGCCCAACAUCAAACGCUUUGGCGGAAGCUCAAAUUGCUGUGGCAGCCCAUACACUUGUUGGCAUAUAGACCCGAUACCCGAGAAUUCCAAUAAUACGCUUCCAAUUGCUUAUGACCAAAUCCUGUUCCACUGACAAAUUCAUUCAAAUGAACUUCCAAAUUAGCCAGGAGCUUUUGUGAUUACUUCCUUUUUUAUAUGACCCCGGAGGUUAUAAAUAUAUGGCAAAUAAUUUGCU